GACGUAGGGAGCGAGCGUUGUCCGGAUUCAUUGGGCGUAAAGGGUCCGUAGGCGGCUCAGCAAGUCGGGUGUGAAAUCUCCAGGCUCAACCUGGAGGGGCCACUCGAUACUGCUGUGGCUUGAGUCCAGUAGGGGAGCAUGGAAUUCCCGGUGUAGCGGUGAAAUGCGCAGAUAUCGGGAGGAACACCAAUAGCGAAGGCAGCUCGCUGGGACGGUACUGACGCUAAGGCGCGAAAGCGUGGGGAGCGAACAGG
rnacentral:rRNA from 1 species